AUACUUACCUGGAUGGGGUCAAUGGAUGAUCAUGAAGGUCUAUGGCCUAGGUUGGUGACCUCCAUUGCACUUUGGAGGGGUGCCUACCUAAGGUGUUCUCAAGUAGAACAACCUACAUCAUAAUUUGUUGCUGUGGGGGCCUGCGUUCGCGCGGCCCUCUU
rfam:Medicago truncatula strain A17 chromosome 8, whole genome shotgun sequence.